rnacentral:rRNA from 1 species
CCUACGGGUGGCAGCAGUGGGGAAUAUUGCACAAUGGGGGAAACCCUGAUGCAGCGACGCAGCGUGGGUGACGAAGUCUUUCUGUAUGUAAAGCCCUAUCAGCAGGGAAGAAGAGUACAGUACCUGACUAAUAAGCCACGUCUAACUACGUUCCAGCAGCCGCGGUAAUACGUCGGGGGCAAGCGUUAUCCGGAUUUACUGGGUGUAAAGGGAGCGUAGGUGGCAUGGCAAGCCAGAAGGGAAAACCCGGGGCUUAACCCCGCGGAUUGCGGUUGGAACUGUCAGGCUGGAGUGCAGGAGGGGCAGGCGGAAUUCGUGGUUUAGCGGUGAAAUGCGUAGAUAUCAGGAGGAACACCGGUGGCGAAGGCGGCCUGCUGGACUGUAACUGACACUGAGGCUCGAAAGCGUGGGGAGCAAACAGGAUUAGAUACCCGGGUAGUC